CAUCCUAGCAACCCGGAGAACACCACCCCAAAAACACAUCUAAGUACAUUCGCACUUCUCCCCGUUUCCAAAAUACCCCGCCGCUUCUUAGAUCCAAAAACUGAGUUAGCAAUAUGUCUGUGUGGUUUUUUUUUUAAGCACAAAACCAUGAGAUGCAGUUUUAUGGCAGCAGUAGAAUGCGAAUAACAAAACGUCAGCACCUUUGCAAUGCCUGCGUCUUUUCUCUUGGGAAGCUUCCUUAGACUCUUUCAAAAAAGAAGGGGGAGAGGAGGCGUUCCUCGAUUUGGAGAAAGUAAAGACCCCCGUGGCGUGGAGUAUGACGCGGGUGUGUGUAUUAUAGAACAGAUGAAUAGCAAGGCAGCUUGAUCUACUACCUCCAACUCCCGAUAUUACUCGAGGACUUCCAAGGCUUCCAUGGCCAGGCGCAGAUGCUCUUUCAAAUGUUUAAUCUCUCGUUCUGACCGUUGCUUGAUGUGAUUCAGCUCCAGAAAUCUACCUUCUGCAUCAUUUGGAGUUCAUCCCUCAGACACUGGACUUCUUGUUUCUGAUACUGGAGUUCAUUCUCCUUCACUCGAAGAAGCACCUUCAGAAGAAAGAUGGAAAGGGAAAUGUUCAGGACACAACUGUCCACUAUCAAAACCACUUUCAAUGUGGUAAGACGGCUCACAAGAACUCUUCUCAUUGUGUGAAGCAUUGUCACGUGCGCCCCGAGCAGCAAUGAAGUCUCGUAACUGGCCAAUCUCUUCUGAAAGACGCUUCUGCAACUCCUGGAAGAAUGAGGAUGGAAUAGUUUAACAUAUUCAUCAAAUAUAACAGAAUUCCUGCUAUUGGCAGCACUACCAGCCCUUGCCUGGUUUUGCCGAAGCAGCUCUUUCCCCUCCUGUUGACAACGCUGCAGCAUUUGUUCCUGUUCUUCUGCCUUCUGC